rnacentral:rRNA from 1 species
GACGAACGCUGGCGGCGUGCCUAAUACAUGCAAGUAGAACGCACAGUUUAUACCGUAGCUUGCUACACCAUAGACUGUGAGUUGCGAACGGGUGAGUAACGCGUAGGUAACCUGCCUGGUAGCGGGGGAUAACUAUUGGAAACGAUAGCUAAUACCGCAUAAUAUUGAUUAUUGCAUGAUAAUUGAUUGAAAGAUGCUAUUGCAUCACUUCCAGAUGGACCUGCGUUGUAUUAGCUAGUAGGUGAGGUAACGGCUCACCUAGGCGACGAUACAUAGCCGACCUGAGAGGGUGAUCGGCCACACUGGGACUGAGACACGGCCCAGACUCCUACGGGAGGCAGCAGUAGGGAAUCUUCGGCAAUGGACGAAAGUCUGACCGAGCAACGCCGCGUGAGUGAAGAAGGUUUUCGGAUCGUAAAGCUCUGUUGUAAGAGAAGAACGGGUGUGAGAGUGGAAAGUUCACACUGUGACGGUAUCUUACCAGAAAGGGACGGCUAACUACGUG